GACGAACGCUGGCGGCGUGCCUAAUACAUGCAAGUAGAACGCUGAAGGAGGAGCUUGCUUCUCUGGAUGAGUUGCGAACGGGUGAGUAACGCGUAGGUAACCUGCCUGGUAGUGGGGGAUAACUAUUGGAAACGAUAGCUAAUACCGCAUAAUAGCAGUUGUUGCAUGAUAACUGUUUGAAAGGUGCAAUUGCACCGCUACCAGAUGGACCUGCGUUGUAUUAGCUAGUUGGUGGGGUAACGGCUCACCAAGGCGACGAUACAUAGCCGACCUGAGAGGGUGAUCGGCCACACUGGGACUGAGACACGGCCCAGACUCCUACGGGAGGCAGCAGUAGGGAAUCUUCGGCAAUGGACGGAAGUCUGACCGAGCAACGCCGCGUGAGUGAAGAAGGUUGUCGGAUCGUAAAGCUCUGUUGUAAGAGAAGAACGAGUGUGAGAGUGGAAAGUUCACAAUGUGACGGUAGCUUACCAGAAAGGGACGGCUAACUACGUG
rnacentral:rRNA from 1 species